rnacentral:pre_miRNA from 1 species
AAAAAGGCAAACCCUAGAUUUGCGUGUCCAACUUUGACUGUCCGUCUUAUAUGAAAUUUUUUUAUAAUUUGUAUUUUUAUUGUUGUUAGAUGAUAAAACAUGAUUAAUAUUUUAUGCGUGACUUGUCUUUUUAAUUUUUUUCAUAAUUUUUUCAAAUAGGACGAACGGUCAAACAUUGGGCACGGAAACCAGGGUUUGUCUUUUU